GUUGGAACAAAGUGUAGAAAGUAAUUGCAACACAUCAUGAGAAAAUGGAAAAUUAAAGAAAAAAAGUUAGAAUUUUUUAUUUGCGUGAAAUGCUAGGGAAACUUUCCUUUCACAGAAUUGUCUUUCUAGUAAUUCCAGUUCAGAAAGAAUGUAGGAGUUUUUUAUGUCUCAAUGCCGUGGUGAUCUGCUGAUGUUUUAAACCCAUAAAUUAUGUAAACGGUGGUAGUCUGUCUACAUUAUUGUAGACUGACUGCAGAGGAAAUGGUUCCAAUUAUAAACAGUACUUGGGUUGUAUAUGAAUUUUGAAUUAAGGUUUAAUGUGAUUAUUUUCUGUUCCUCUAUUGGAUCAAAAAAUUUUCUUUUAUUGGUGAAUGGGUGGGGGUAGCAUAGUAUGUUUACUGAAAGAUAGAGGGAGAAUAGAGAAAGGAAAUAGUUGGUGCGCUGUGCUUGUUUUAUUUGUUAAAUAAAUAACGAUACGCACCUGCAUCAUGGUGUUUUAAUUGGGAAGCUUAGAUCUUUCAAAUAAUCAGAGGAUGCAAGAUUUUGCAGUUAUCCUUUUUCUGAUGAAAUGUCUAUCAGUCAACUGAAGAAAAAUUUCCUCUUUUUUUACAUAUAUUUUUUACUAUUUAUUUUUUCUCUUUAAUCUGGAGGUUUAAGUUAUGCUUUUUGGUUGGUUGAAGGUACUAUGAAUUGGGACCUGA
rnacentral:misc_RNA from 1 species